UGCCCGAUGGUGUAACGGUAGCACAGCUGACUCUGGAUCAGCCGGUCUAGGUUCAAAUCCUAGUCGGGCAACCA
rnacentral:tRNA from 1 species